GCAUCGAUAGCUCUGUGGCGGAGCGGUGGUGGGUCGUCGACCCAUGCGGCCCGGGUUCGAGCCCCGGUCGAUGCA